GUCAUUCUUUCCAACACUUGUCACUCUCUGAUUUUUUGGUAGUAGCCAUCCUAGUGGGUGUGAAGCAGGCUUCUCAUGUGGCUUUGAUUUGCAGGUGUUGGAUUUUCUUCUAAGAACAAUAGGGACAUUCAGAGGAUUGGAGGUUGUGCCAACUUCCUCACCAUGGGCAGAUUUGGAGAAAGAGUAACACCAGUGUCUCUGAUGUCACCACUCAGCCCAGGCAACCUGCUGGGGAAUAUUGUAUAUUUAGGGCAGAGAUUCUUUGCCGGGAUUUCGAGACAUAGGGAUCAAGAUGCCACAUCAAGAGGCUAUGUGACCUUUGACAGUUAUGGUUAUCAUCUGCCCACGAACAGUAUUUCUAAGAAGUUGCUUCUCUGUGUCUUCUGGGAAGAAUUUGUCCUUCAAUACAUGUGAUUGCAGCAUGUUGAUAAAAGCAAAAGAACAACAAUAAAAUUCAUUUUGUGGCACUUCUCA
rnacentral:lncRNA from 1 species